UGCCUGGCGAUCCUGGUUCCCCUGGGCCCCGGGGACCUGCUGGGCCCCCAGGACAGAAAGGAGACAAGGGUGAUGGGGAAGAAGGUUUUCCAGGGCCGCCAGGUCGCCAAGGGGACCCAGGAGAUCGGGGCCCGAGAGGACCUCCAGGUGAACAAGGAAGCAAGGGAGACCGUGGGCAGCCGGGAGAACUCGGAGAAGCAGGGGAGAAGGGCGAUCGCGGACCCCCUGGGCCGGAAGGGAAGAAGGGGGAGCUGGGAGCUCCAGGCCGCCUGGGCCCAGCAGGCAGAGAGGUGAGUGUGGGAGUGUGCCUAGCCCAGGUGGAACGUGGCAGUGCCAGCCCCACACUGUUGCACAGCCUGGGCAGGAAUGCUCCUGUGCUGAGAUGUGUUUGCCGCGGCGCCCCCUGCUGAUCUGGCACCGUGUUUUUUCUCCCCUACCCCUCC
rnacentral:lncRNA from 1 species